rnacentral:rRNA from 1 species
AACGAACGCUGGCGGCAUGCCUAACACAUGCCAGUCGAACGAGACCUUCGGGUCUAGUGGCGCACGGGUGCGUAACGCGUGGGAACCUGCCCUUAGGUUCGGAAUAACUCCCCGACAGGGGUGCUAAUACCGGAUAAUGUCUUCGGACCAAAGAUUUAUCGCCUUUGGAUGGGCCCGCGUUGGAUUAGCUAGUUGGUAGGGUAAAAGCCUACCAAGGCGACGAUCCAUAGCUGGUCUGAGAGGAUGAUCAGCCACACUGGGACUGAGACACGGCCCAGACUCCUACGGGAGGCAGCAGUGGGGAAUAUUGGACAAUGGGCGAAAGCCUGAUCCAGCAAUGCCGCGUGAGUGAUGAAGGCCUUAGGGUUGUAAAGCUCUUUUACCCGGGAUGAUAAUGACAGUACCGGGAGAAUAAGCUCCGGCUAACUCCGUG